CCUACGGGUGGCAGCAGUGGGGAAUAUUGGACAAUGGGGGCAACCCUGAUCCAGCCAUGCCGCGUGUGUGAAGAAGGCCCUCGGGUUGUAAAGCACUUUCAGUGAGGAAGAACGCCUGGUGGUUAAUACCCAUCAGGAAAGACAUCACUCACAGAAGAAGCACCGGCUAACUCCGUGCCAGCAGCCGCGGUAAUACGGAGGGUGCGAGCGUUAAUCGGAAUUACUGGGCGUAAAGCGCGCGUAGGUGGCUUGAUAAGCCGGUUGUGAAAGCCCCGGGCUCAACCUGGGAACGGCAUCCGGAACUGUCAAGCUAGAGUGCAGGAGAGGAAGGUUGAAUUCCCGGUGUAGCGGUGAAAUGCGUAGAGAUCGGGAGGAAUACCAGUGGCGAAGGCGGCCUUCUGGACUGACACUGACACUGAGGUGCGAAAGCGUGGGUAGCAAACAGGAUUAGAUACCCUUGUAGUC
rnacentral:rRNA from 1 species